UUUGCACGUUCUACAUGGUCAGUCAUUCAAAUAGCGUCAAAUCUGUAUCCGCCCACAAGUGUCGCCAAUAUUUUUGGUCAUUGGUUGGAUGGUAUUCCAAAUAGGUUGAAAACGCUAAUAAGGGUGGGAGCGUAUGCCUUACUAUGGUCGCUUUGGCUAUGUAGAAACGAUUUGGUGUUCAAUAACAAAAAUGCUUCUCCUUUGCAGGUUAUUUUUCGUUGUACGCACUCGCUUCAUACGUGGUCUAUGCUACAACGAGUGGAGUAUCAACCGCUGUUCAAGACGGUGUGUAUGUGGUUAGAGCAGAUGGUUAUGGAGGUUUUUAUCCAACAUGGAUGGCAGCAUAAUCUCCGGAUCGGUCCACUACCCCUUUCGACAUAG
rnacentral:rRNA from 1 species